rnacentral:sRNA from 1 species
UGUAUUUUUUUGAGUUUUUUUAUUGAAUAUAUGUUUUGAUUUGUUUUCUCGAUUAGAAAAUUAUUUGGUCAGACGAGAUGACCCGUUUCUUGUUAGAACUUUAUCAUAUGUAUAGAGGCAAUCCGGAAAAUCCACGAGUUCAACGUUAUUUACAGUUUAUUACACUACUUGAUGCAAUUUUUGGUGAUGUACCAAAUGCAUAAAGUACUAAGCUUUUUCUUACAAAAUUUAUUUAUUUUUGAAUUUAAUGUUUUAUUUAUGGUUUUAAUUAUUAAGCAUGUUUAAUUUUCUAAUAUUAUCAAUUUAUCAUAAUAAUAUAUUGUAUUUUUUCUUUUAAAAUUAAUAUAUUAUAUUUAUUUUGGUUAUUUUUUAUUUAAUUACUAUCGCACUCGCUGAUUUACCAGUCAUAAAACUUCCGUAAACGCACCCAUUAUCAAACGCUCAACCAGUCGUUCAAAACGCUUGAUAAUGCUUGAAACCGCAACCGCCUGUUUCCGCAAACUCCCGCAACCGCAACCGCAAUUGAUUAAUGAUUUAUGUUACACGGUUUUGAAGCAAGCAUGAAUUAUAUCACAUGUAUAAUAUUCUUACAC